rnacentral:rRNA from 1 species
UACGGAGGGUGCGAGCGUUGUCCGGAAUCACUGGGCGUAAAGGGCGCGUAGGCGGCCCGGCAAGUCUGUGGUGAAAGCUCAGGGCUCAACUCUGAGUCGGCCACGGAUACUGCGGGGCUCGAGCACGGUAGAGGCAGGUGGAAUUCCGGGUGUAGCGGUGGAAUGCGUAGAUAUCGGGAGGAACACCGGUGGCGAAGGCGGUUCUCUGGGCCUGUUCUGACGCUGAGGAGCGAAAGCGUGGGGAGCGAACAGG